UGUAACAUGUAAAUAAGUUACAAACUUUGAUAUGUUAAUAUUUUUAGUGAUCAAGUUUCUUUUUAUCAUCUAGUUUUUAAUCCUGUAUUUUAUUUAAACAUUUUAAUAUGUGUAAUCGUAAAUAAAUUUUACAAUGAAAAUUGACAAUUUUUUAAAAUUCUUUGAAUUGCCGUGCUAGGGGAUACUUUCUUAGCAUAAGUACAGUUGUGUCCUCACUUUAUCUUUAAAGAAGUUUGUGAACACAUCAGGCAUUUAGUAAUGAAGCGGAAGGUGGAGGAGGAGUCGGAAGAGGGGGACCUGCAGCACAACAGGAACUUCAGCUUGCCUCCGCCGCCCAUGCAGCACCAGUCCCCGCCGCCCAUGCAGCACCACACCCCGCCACCCAUGCACAACCACCCCCCACCGCCCAUGCAGCACCACACCCCACCACCCAUGCACAACCAGCCCGCGCCGCCCAUGUCGCACUUCGUCGGCCGGGGGAGGGGCCCCUGGAUGCAGCGCAGGCAGCAGCACGGGCGCGGGGGCGGCUUCGGGGCGGCGGGUGGCGCGAACGGUUCCAUGGUCAACGGCGAGAUGCAUGGCGGCCAGCCCUUCUUCAGGGGCGGUCCCAGGGGCAUGCUGGGCAACCGCGGGAUGCCUGGCAACCGCAGGAUGCCGGGCAACCGCGGCAUGCCCCCUGGCAACCGCGGCAUGCCCCCUGGCAACUGCGACUUCUUCCCCCGGAGCCAGGGAAACCCUCGCUUUGGCAACUCUUUCCAGCAGAGGGAGUUCCACCAGGGCAUGCCGUGGAGCCAGCCGCCCCGGCACAUGUACCAGCAGCAGCAGCAGCAGCAGCAGCAGAUGCCGUACCCGCAGCAGAUGCAGGCCCAGCAGAUGAAGGCGGACGCCGACGCGUGCGGGCAAGGAGGCUCCCCCUCGUCCCAGCACAAGGUGCAGGUCCACGGCGACGAGACGUUCACAAAGUCCAAGUCGAGCAAGCGCCGCCCCAUGUCCCAGAGCUACCCGUCGCGACCCUGGAACAAGGAGGACGCGGAGAGGGCGCUGCAGGAGGAGUCGGCGCACAUGAAGGGCCUGAAGAGCCACAGCCUGGUGGUACGGUUCCCCGACCCGGAGCUCAGCAAGGACAUCGUCAAGUCCUUCCACCCGAGCAUCGAGAACGUCCACUUCCAAAUCCCGAGCGGAGCGAGGUAUUGUUUCAUACAGCUGACUGAGGACGCAGACCCUGACGAGGCGAUAGAGGAGAUGCAGAAAAUCGAAUUCGGAUGUGGCAAUCUGGUGGUCGAGAAGAAGUACGCUAAAGAAGAGGAGGAGGAGCUGUGUCCCGAGGACAUCGACCCGUACACAUUGUACAUUGGAAACCUCCCAACAAAUGUGAAUGUAAUGUCUGUGAAACAGAACUUUCCGACUGCUGCAAGAAUUGAUAUCGGUUUCGCGCAGAGGAUGAAAUUCACACGGUAUGCAUUUGUUCGAUACAACACGGUAGAUGAUGCAAUCGAAGCGUACCGAAAAACGCACAACCUUGUGUUAGAUUCCAGGAGUAUAAUUGUGAGAUUUCGACGGCAGCGUGGUCAUGUUGGUUUACCGGGAGAGUCCAAGCCACAAAAAGAAUCUAAAAAACAGGAAGGUGAAAAAACAAAAGCAAAACCCAAGAAGGAUAAAGAAAAGGAGAAAGAAAAGGCAAAAGUGAAAGAUAAGGUGAAAGAAAAAGGUAAAGAGAAAGGAAAGGAGAAGGCAAAAGAAAAGGAAAAAGAGAAGGAAAAAGAAAAGGAAAAGGCAAAAACAGUAAAACUAAAAGAGGAACUGAAGUCGGAUGACGAGGGUGACGAUGACGAUGACGACGAUGAAGACGACGACUCGGACUCUGACUCUGACGACGAGGAAGAAGAUGAUGAAGAGGAUGACGAAGAGGACGAAGAUGAUGAGGAUGAUGAUGAGGAUGACGAUGAUGAUGAUGACGAUGAUGAUGAUGACGAGGAUGAAGAGGAUGAUGAUGAAGAGUUUGAUGAUCGAUCAGGAAAUAUGUUCCAGUCGGUUGAUUUGCGGCUGAACGCCAUCGAUGGAAUGCCGUUCCCGUUCCUCACAGACUAGUCCUAACAGGUGGGAAAAUUUGGCAGAAGUCUAACGAACCGACCGAUGUGAGCCGUGCUGCUGCUGAGCGAAGGCUUGAAGCUGUCCGGUUGGGAAGUCAAUCCAUCGUCAGAGCGAAGAGCACAAGCUCUACACUUAACCCAAUGUUUCGGGUGUCCUGCAGACAAGGCGCAGACUAUCGGCUGGGAAGAAAACAACCUGCUUCACUCAGUAUCCACAUAGUGAUUAGUGGUGGGCUUGCCUGUUACUUUUGAGUAUCAGUGAAUAUAGGUGAAAUACAGGUUCCAGUGAAAUUUAACUGUGAAAAACAGUGAAUGGUGAAAUCACUAUCUGUUAGUGCUCGUAACUGCUUCCUCACUUUGAUGAAUGGUGAAAUAAAGGUGUACAGUGAAAUCACUGCUGACUAGAUCUUACAACAGCUACUGUCUCCCGGUGAACUGUGAAAUUAAAUACAUGCAGUGUUUUUCACUGAAAUCUUUCAUAUUGUUUCGAGUUUAUUUUGAUUUUAAGUUGAAAAAUACUACAUAUUAGUUUGUUUUUUUGUAUUAUAGAUAUAAUAAUAUAGACUCCAUAUUUAUGUCAUUGUUCUUUUAGCUUAGUAAUAUAACGAGCAUGUUUUAAGUUUACUACAUAUAUGGGAAACUUGAAUAAGACCUAAGUUUUUGAUAGUUUAUCUUACAAAAUUUGUUCAAACUAAAGUAAAAUGCCAUUGUUAAGAUUAAGCAAUUGUAGCUUAAAUUUUAUAUAAAUAGUCUUAUACAUAUAUUCUUAUAGCCCAUAAAAAUAGUUGUAGAAUAAUGAUUUCUUUACACAUUAAAAAUUAUUCCAUUAAGUUUUUAUGUCCUUGGUUUCAGCUUAUGACUAUGUUGAACUUGUUGACUUUGAUGGCUCUGAUAAAGUAUUUGCAAUUAUUUCCCUCAGUUUUUCUUCUUCACGGUUGGGUUAUUUUUCUGUGGUCUCCACUUUCUAGUUGGUCUCGAAUUAUUUUCAUUAUUCAAUAAUAUUCUGCUAGGCUCUCAUUCUGUGAAUGGUGAAUUUUUUUUCUUUCAUUUUUGUUGGAUAACUGUAGGUAGUCGAUUUCACCUAAUUUUACUGCUGAAACUGGUCGCAGGUAUAUAUACCUGUAAAAUUUUGAUAUCGGUGACGAAGUAACAGGUAUGGAUUUCACUGUCCACCACUGGUAGUGAUGCAUGCUUGACCACCCGCUGCCUGGCACAUCCAGAAAGUGGCUACGGAAGCUUGCAAAUUUUGUUAUGCAUAAGCGUAUUUUAUUCACAAGUUGGAUUCCUGAGAAUAGGGGAUACUUUUGCUUAGUGGCAAACCUGUUUUGCACAUCACGCUUGGUAUUUUCCUUGAUUUAGCGUGUUUGUGGUUUCGUUGUUCUGUAGAAGGUGGUUUCGUUUAUGCUGGGUAAAAAUAAGAUUUUAUGAUUGACAAUGUGGUAGAUAUUGUUUUAGAGUUUUAUAUCCUUUUCAGUAUGUAGCAAGAACUCUCAGAUUUUGAACUACUGAUGAAAAUUUUUCAUUCAUAAAUCAUCAAAAAAUAACAUCAUCACUUUUGUUAGCUUUUGGCUAAUGUACUUGGGUGCCUCUUUAAUGUGUUUUGUAAUUUUUUGUAUUACAAUUUUUUUUUAGUUUGUUACAAUGAUGCUGUUGCUUAUCCAAAAAGUGUGAAAUACAUAUAUUGAAAUUACUUACUAAUGUUCGGUUGCCUGUGCUAAUUAACAAAGAGUGCAACUAUAAAGAAACUGAUGUAAUGAAAUGUAAAGUGUUGAGUUUUGAUGUGCAUUGUGGUUCUAGUUGGUGUCACAGUUAUAAGUAUAAUGCAGGGGUGAUAGUUAUCACAAUAAGCUCAUGCAGUGUUAAUGUGUAUCAAGACCUUAGCCAGGACUUUGUGAAGGAGGGGCUCCAGUAUAACCAUCAUGUAAUUUUUUACUAGUAAGUAUUCUUUAUAAUGAAAUUUUUGGAAUUUUAAAAUUUAAAUUGUUGGUCAUACUAAAAUCUCAGGGAAUAGUAGAAUUUUAGUACUCCAAUGUUUACACUUAAAUUUUUUUAAGUUUUGUUUUUGUUUGAGAAAAAACUGUGUAUUUUAUUUAUUUCUAUUUAAUUGUUUUCAUACUUUGUUCUUAAGUCAGUUGUUUGAUUUCGUUAAAACAAUUCAUAAACAGUUAUAUAUUAAUGUUAAUAAAUACAUGAAACACAUAUUUAAAGUUUGUAUGUUAGAAAUACUUACACAUGUGCAAACUGGCAUGAAAUAUUGACUUUACUUGGAAAAACAAUUCCUGCCAUUUCCUUGAAUGAGGGCUGUAAUACGGAGGAAAUACACUAACGUUGCCCACUAAGGAUUACAAUAAUAUUUCCAAAUGAUAUCUUGUAACCUUAAUUAGACAAAUUUCUGUUAUUUUCUCAUUCUGUUUUCACAUGGUUGGUUUUUUUUUUUAAUUCUGGAAGGGAGGGGUCUGGACCCCAAGACCUCCCCCCCUCCUCCCCACCGCAACAGCUGCAUCCUUGGGUGUAGAGGCAUCUCAAAUGCUUUGGCAUUUACUUUCUAAUCUUAUUGGAGAUUUGGGUCCAUGUGCUGACAAAUUUUGGCUGAAAGAUUUCACAGAAAAAAUGUUCUGUUCAACCGAAUGACUUCAGUUACGUACAUAGGAUUGGCGUGGGUUUUUGGCAAGUGCAUAAACCUGUGAAUUAAUUAUUUGUGGCAUUUUGAAUCACCAACGUAAGGAACUGACAUUAAAAUUCCAUCCUAAUGAGGAAAAACAUCCACUUAAGGAGAUAACAUGCAGAAUAACUGGGGUUACUCUCUUUAGGUGAUCAGCAAACAGCCAUGCUACCAGGCUCGGCUUCUCAAAUUGUCAGAUGUGAUUAGUGUCCACGUGGAAUAGUUUCAUGUGAAAAGAACUUGUAUAUAUUUUUUAAUUUUAUACUAUUUUGGUAAUAGUAUUCUUGCAUUACUUAAAAAAAACUUUCAGAGAAAUGUUACAGUGGAUAGAUGUGUAAAGACUAGUUGAAUUGAUAAUGUAUGUGUAUCAAAUUAUAGCACCCUUUUUAAUGAGGUUUUAUUUAUUUGUGAGCUGUACAAAAUAUGUGUUUGUAAAUUGUUGUUUUUAGUUGAAUGUAACGUCAAGUGUGCGAUUGUGUCGACUCCAUGAUUAGUAGUAAAUUUAAGAAUUUUAUUGUG